GUGUCCCCUUCAGCAGCACAUAUACCAAAUUGGAAGGAUACACAGACAAUAAGCAUGGCCCUGUGCAAGGAUGAUAUGCAAAUUUGUGACACAUUCCAUAUUUUU